GGCCGCUCCCGCCGGGCCGCUCCCGCCGGGCUUCCCGGGGCUGCGCCGCCUCGUCCUGCGGCUGAGAUGCGGGAUAGCCCCGCUCCUUCUCACCUCGCGUCCCCGUUCUCCCCUUACAGCCCUUCUCCCCUCACACCCAGCUCUCUCCUCACGGUCCCACUCCUCCCUAAUGGCCCCUCUCUUCCCUCACAGACCCCAUUCGCCCCUCACACCCCGCCCUCCCGUCAUGGCCCUGCUCUCCCCUCACACCGACGGUGGUCGUGUGUCUAUCAGAGGAUAGUGGGGGCCGCAGUGGUGCCCUUGCUUCUGUUUUUGGCUGAUUUAUGGUUAGAGAUUAUACCAGUGAUCCUUCAGUUUCAAAGGCUUCAGUCUUGCCAUGAACCUCUUGUAUUUGAGACUCGUGACUCAUUUUAAAAGCCUGGUUCUUGUGCCAAGAGGAACAUUGUGCCUAUCCAAGGCAUCAGGGUCUGAUGUUUGCUCAGAGAACAUUCCUCAGAUGUGGUUCUUGUAGUACCUUGGGUUUGCCCCACUUUCUGUUCUGCAACCUUCAGGUGUGCAAAUAACCCCAAGCCUUGCCUUUGCUCCGGUGGCAGCUCCCAGGAGGUUCCAUUCAGAGCUGGAGGAAUUGAGGGUGUCAGGAAAAGUCCACAAAUGCCAGAAGUUUAUGUCCGUAAAGAAGACAAAGGAGUCCUGUAACUUUACUUGAAUAAAGGGAGAGAGUCCACCGGGGCACACACCUGCAGGAUUUUCUCUCCCGAAGUUUUGGAGGGUACAGCCUCCUUUUAUCCCAAACUCCCGUCCCCAUAUUACCUCUUCCUUUGCCCGUCAGCUGAGGUACUAGGAAGGUACAGCUUUCCCAAACCACCUAGCGCAUAUUGAACCUACUAUUUUACCCCCAAAGUUCAAAAGUUCAGGCUUGUGCUGACACUUGUCUGUUUUAGAAGCCAAGCUGUCUGGGUGCUGCAACAAACCUGCUGCCCAAAGUUAGUAGAGACAUUAAGACCCAUUCCAAAGACUUUAAAAUCUGUACCUUCACCCAUCAAAUUGUUUGUAAAGACAUUUGCUUUCCUCUCAAGGGGCUUACUGGCUUCUCUAGCACUUUGCUGCUUUACCUGGUUCAGAUUUACCUGGUCUGUGCUGCUGGAUAAAAUCAGGACCUAAAUUUUUUCAGGUUAAAAAAAUCCUUUGAUGGAAAAAGAAGAGACCCAAACCUCUGGUUUAACUUCUAGAAAUAGAAUCACAAAAUUAAAUAGUUUGGAAAAGACCUCUGAGAUCAUUGAGUUCAACCUGUGCCUGACCCCCACCUUGUCAUCCAGUCCAGAGCACUCAGUGCCAUGUCCAGGCAUUCUUUGGACACCUCCAGGAAUGGGGACUCCACCAUCUGGAGUCCCUGGGCAGUCCCUUCCAAUGCCUGACACCCUUUCCAUGGAGAAUUUCCUCUGGAUGUCCAACCCAAACCUUUCCUGGUACAACUUCAUGCCAUUUCCUCCUGUCCCGGCCCUGUUCCCUGGGAGCAGAGCCCAACCCCACCCCAGGUGUCCCCUCCUGUCAGGAGUUGUGCAGAGCCAGGAGGUCCUCCCAAGCCUCCUUUUCUCCAGGCUGAGCCCUUUCCCAGCUCCCUCAGCCCCUCCUGGUGCUCCAGUCCUUUCCUCAGCUCCAUUCCCAGCUCCAUUCCUGGCUCUGGACCCUCUCCAGCCCCUUGAUGUCCUUCCUGAACCCACCUCCAUGGACUCCUCAUGGGAGGGUGUUUCCAGUCCUGUCAGAAUUUGCUCCUUUGAUGAAAAUUAAAAUGAAAAUUAUAAGCCCAAAGGUUCAUAUCACUUCUUCUUGUGGGAUUACAGAAGACACGUGGAGGAAGCAGCCCGGACUGGGGACAAGAUACUGGAAAUGCCUUUGGAAGAAGUAAAGGAAUGGCCUAGGCAGCUGAGAGACCACAUCUCAGGGAUCAGAUUUUUUGGGGACCCUGCUUAUUCCUAGAAUGGGAUUCAAACCAGCUGAGCUCCAGUUCCCUUUAAAACAUGGAGAGCCCUUCGGUUGUGUCAAAGUUUGUAACAAGUUGCUGUGAAGAGGAAACACAAUCCACAGACAAAGCAACAUCCCACUGACUUGUGAAAUGCUGAAGAAUUAUGUUAAUCUCAAAUUUGCUCAGCACCCUUACUGGAAUGGACUGAAAUAAUAACGAAUAGGAGGCAGGUGCCCGGGUGCCCAUAAAAAUCCCAGUCCUCUGGAUGUCUCGCAAGCUAACAGCCCUGUGACAGGCGGCCCCGCCCGCGACGACAGCGCGCCGGGACAGCGCGGGAGGGAGGCGGCACGGACCGAGGGGCUCCGGCCCGGCCCGCAGGACCCGC